rnacentral:misc_RNA from 1 species
UCCUCGUUUAAGCGAGGCAGUCUGUCCAGAGUGCUCCAAACUCUCGUUUGGGUGGCAACAGGACACAAGGGUUGCGCUCGUUGCGGGACUUAACCCAACAUCUCACGACACGAGCUGACGACAGCCAUGCAGCACCUGUGUAGACUCCCCUUGCGGGGUCGUUACCCUUUCAGGCUUCUACCACCUACAUGUCAAGGCCAGGUAAGGUUCUUCGCGUUGCAUCGAAUUAAGCCACAUACUCCACCGCUUGUGCAGGCCCCCGUCAAUUUCUUUGAGUUUUAAUCUUGCGACCGUACUCCCCAGGCGGCACGUUUAACGCGUUAGCUUCGCCACGAAAGGGGUCGAUUCCUCUCACAGCAAACGUGCACCGUUUAAGGCUAGGACUAC